rnacentral:rRNA from 1 species
UAGUCCACGCCGUAAACGAUGAAUACUAGGUGUCGGGGCACAAAAGUGCUUCGGUGCCGCAGCUAACGCAAUAAGUAUUCCACCUGGGGAGUACGUUCGCAAGAAUGAAACUCAAAGGAAUUGACGGGGACCCGCACAAGCGGUGGAGCAUGUGGUUUAAUUCGACGCAACGCGAAGAACCUUACCAGAUCUUGACAUCCCAAUGACCAACCGGGUAACGCCGGUCUUCCUUCGGGACAUUGGUGAC